CCCUUAGAUGUCCGGGGCCGCACGCGCGCUACACUGAAGGAAUCAGCGUGGCUUUCUCCCUGACCCGAAAGGGUUGGGAAACCCGUUGAAUCUCCUUCGUGAUAGGGAUUGGGGCUUGAAAUUGUUCCCCAUGAACGAGGAAUUCCCAGUAAGCGCGAGUCAUAAGCUCGCGUUGAUUACGUCCCUGCCCUUUGUACACACCGCCCGUCGCUACUACCGAUUGAACGGUUUAGUGAGGGCCUCGGAUUGGUCUCGGCCCGCUCUUUACCGGGCGGCGCGGUUGGUCGAGAAGACGCUCGAACUUGAUCGUUUAGAGGAAGUAAAAGUCGUAACA
rnacentral:rRNA from 1 species